rnacentral:rRNA from 1 species
GACGUAGGGCGCGAGCGUUUGUCCGGAUUUAUUGGGCGUAAAGAGCUCGGUAGGCGGCUUGUCGCGUCGACUGUGAAAUCCGCGGCUCAACUGCGGGUCUGCAGUCGAUACGGGCAGGCGUAGAGUUCGGUAGGGGAGACUGGAAUUCCUGGAUGUAGCGGUGAAAUGCGCAGAUAUCAAGGAGGAACACCCGGUGGCGAAGGCGGGUCUC